GAUGAACGCUGGCGGCGUGCCUAAUACAUGCAAGUCGAGCGAACAGACGAGGAGCUUGCUUCUCUGACGUUAGCGGCGGACGGGUGAGUAACACGUGGAUAACCUACCUAUAAGACUGGGAUAACUUCGGGAAACCGGAGCUAAUACCGGAUAAUAUAUUGAACCGCAUGGUUCAAUGGUGAAAUAGGGUUUUCCUGUUUCUAAUAGACGAUUCCGGGCCGCAUUAGUUAGUUGGUAAGGUAACGGCUUACCAAGGCAACGAUGCGUAGCCGGCCUGAGAGGGUGAUCGGCCACACUGGAACUGAGACACGGUCCAGACUCCUACGGGAGGCAGCAGUAGGGAAUCUUGCGCAAUGGGCGAAAGCCUGACGGAGCAACGCCGCGUGAGUGAUGAAGGUCUUCGGAUCGUAAAACUCUGUUAUUAGGGAAGAACAGAUGUGUAAGUAACUAUGCACGUCUUGACGGUACCUAAUCAGAAAGCCACGGCUAACUACGUG
rnacentral:rRNA from 1 species